rnacentral:tRNA from 1 species
GGAUGUGGCUCAGUGGUAGAGUGCUUGCCUAGCAUGCAUGAGGCACUGGGUUUGAUUCUCAGCACCA